AGUUGAGCAAAGAUCACCUAGGAUAAAAUAAAUAGUAAGUCUUGCAUAAAUAAAUGUAAUCUAUUUCAGAAUAAACACAAACUUUAAAUAAUAAACACAACAGGCUCAGGAUAAAUAUAAAUUUUUUUAUAAUAAAUAUAAAUUUUGAAUAAUAAAUACAAACUACGUAUAAUAAACAGAAACUAUUUGACUCUGACUUUGCAUUUGAUCUCGACUUGGUGUUUAUCCUAGAAUGAUUUGUGUAAGAUUUAAUGUUUAUUCUCCUCAAUUAGUAUUUAUCUAGGUAGUUUUUGUUUACUAUUCAAAAUUUUUGUUUAUUUAAUAUAUUAUAUUUAUCCUGGAUGAAUCCAACUUGAUGUUUAUUUCGGAUAGUUUCUGUUUAUCUUCUCAAAAUUUAUGUUUAUUAUUCAUAGUUUUUGUUUAUUAUGCGAAGUUUAUGUUUAUUUUGAAGUACUU
rnacentral:lncRNA from 1 species